CUGCUCACUUCAGCAGCAUGUAUAGUAAAAUUGGAAUGAUACAGAGAAGGUUAGCAUGGCCUCUGCAUGAAGAUGAUACACAAAUUCAUCAACGGUUCCAUGUUUUA